GGAGAAGCCAGAGUCCUCAAGCUCAAUGGCAGAGGCAGAACAAGAGCCAAGUUACACAGCUCAUCAUUUGACGAUUCCACUAGGAUUGAAUCAGUCCGAGUUGGAUGAGUUAGCUCCACUCAUCUCUGAGUUCCACACCUAUAGAAUCGGCCCAGGCCAAUGUUCUUCUCUAUUAGCCCAACGCAUAAACGCACCAAACGACAUCAUCUGGUCCAUAGUCCGUUGUUUCGACAAGCCUCAGACCUAUAAGCACUUUAUCAAGAGCUGCACCGUGGAGCCAGGUUUCACAAUGAGGGUGGGGUCCACCCGUAAUGUCAACGUGAUAUCCGGUUUACCGGCUGCCACCAGUACGGAGAGGCUCGACAUCCUGGACGAUGACCGACAAGUCAGCGGUUUUACUAUCAUUGGCGGGGAGCACAGGCUUAGGAAUUACCGGUCGGUGACCACUGUGCAUGGAUUCGAACGCGACGGCGGGAUCUGGACCGUUGUUUUAGAAUCGUACGUCGUCGAUGUCCCGGAAGGCAAUACCGAAGAGGACACACGGCUCUUUGCCGAUACAGUUGUGAAGUUGAACCUCCAGAAAUUGGCAUCUGUCGCCGAGGCGCGUGAUGCUGACGGUAAAUCACAGGUAAUUUAAGAAAAGACAAACAAAAAACAAAGUUAUUUUUUGAACUGUUUUCUUUUUCUUUUUUUUUUUUCACUUCCAUGUUCGUGAUUAUGUUUUCUGCUGUUCGAUGGGCCCAAUCAAUUGAAUUUACGAAAAUGCCCUAUUGUUGGAAGGCAGUUGACUUGGAUGCCACGUGAUUUUCUUGUGGGGUUAGUCUUGUAUGAUCCGAUCCCACGGUGAUGCUGUGUUGGAAAUUGGAAUUGUGAGUUUAGAAGGCGAAGGCAUUAUAGUCAAAUGGUCAUGUACAGACAUGUUGAGUUUUGAGCAAAACGUUGUCGUUUUAAAUAAAUUUUCCUUUUCCCUCAUAGUGCCUGAAUUUGUAUAAAAUCGGAAGGAAAAACGAAAGAAAGGUUUCUUCUGGUGGAGGUAUUGAGUUUUUAUUUUUCUCUUUAUAAAUAAAUAAUUUUCUUUUCUUUUUUAAAAAAGUAAGAACACUGUAGUAACGUCGGCAUCUCCAAGUGAGCAUGAUUCAUAUAGGCUGAGUUUAGUAUUGGUGGAAUCUAUGCUUUUGAC
rnacentral:misc_RNA from 1 species